UCUAAAAUUCCGUCAGACAGAUUCAGAUUUUAUUCCGUCACACAGAUUCAAGAUGUUAACUGGUCGCCUUUAAUGGUUCGGCAGUAAAGCGAAAUACGCAAAGGUUCAUUUGUGCGCUGUUUGUGUCCGCUACAGUCAAUUUAAUAUGUAUGAAUGCGUAUGGUUCGCGUGUAUAAUACGAAUGUGUCUGUGGUUCGCUGUUCUUGCUAAUAGUAGUACCGUCGCAGUUCCAAAGAAAUUCAGCAUUGACCUUCGGGAAUGGAAAAGCGAAUGUAAUUGCUCGUGUUCAACUGAAAUAUCAAAUUGUACAAUAAACGAAGCCUAUUCCAUGAGGGGCAAUCUUUGGAGGAAGCGAAACUAUCCGCCAGAGUUGCUGCCAAAAUCAUCGCGGUUUUUAUCAUGUGAACCAAACCCAGACAAAUUUCGAUACUUCUUAUUCAACCUCAGCUGCAAAGGAGAACGUGCGUACGUUAUAUA